AAGUAAAUGUGUAGCUGAUGUUGCUGUGAGAGAAAGUGAAAUGAAAGGAAGGGACUAAGUUUGAAGCCUGGUCAGCAAAGUCCCUGGGCAGGAGCUCGGAAUGUCCUUAUCUUCUCGGAGAAAUCUACUGCUGGUGCCAGAGCUCUGUGAUUUCUAUCAAAAGAAAAUAAGCGUGAAACAGAAGUUAAAAAUCAUACAUCAAACCCUUCUUUUUGGGUGCUGUUCCUGUGGCUAUGGCAUACACGAUAUCAUGAACCACAGGCUGAAAGCACCCUGGAAGAGCAGUUCCCUUCAUCUCGCUUUGACUUGCCAGUUCUCUGUCCAGCUCCUCCUCCUUCCACCAUUUCAGCGCCAGCUUGACAAGCUGUCUUUACAGGUUUGGUUAUCACGUUUCCAGGAGGUAGGACGGCUUUCCCCACAGCCAGCCUGGUUAUAA
rnacentral:lncRNA from 1 species